rnacentral:rRNA from 1 species
UACGUAGGGGGCAAGCGUUGUCCGGAUUUAUUGGGCGUAAAGAGCGUGUAGGCGGUUUGGUAGGUCCGCUGUGAAAACUCGAGGCUCAACCUCGAGACGCCGGUGGAAACCAUCAGACUAGAGUCCGGAAGAGGAGAGCGGAAUUCCUGGUGUAGCGGUGAAAUGCGCAGAUAUCAGGAAGAACACCCGUGGCGAAGGCGGCUCUCUGGGACGGUACUGACGCUGAGACGCGAAAGCGUGGGGAGCGAACAGG